CCAAUAGCGUAUAUUAAAGUUGUUGCAGUUAAAAAGCUCGUAGUUGAAUUUCGGGAUCAAGGAAUCGGUCAUGCCUCGGUAUGUACUGGUUUUAUUGGUUCUCACCUUCUAAAGAACCAUAAUGUCAUUCAUUUGAUGUUAUGGGGAAUUAGGACUGUUACCUUGAAAAAAUUAGAGUGUUUAAAGCAGGCGCACGCUUGAAUACAUUAGCAUGGAAUAAUGAAAUAGGACGUUUGAUUCUAUUUUGUUGGUUUCUAGGAUCGACGUAAUGAUUAAUAGGGAUAGUUGGGGGCAUUAGUAUUCAAUUGUCAGAGGUGAAAUUCUUGGAUUUAUUGAAGACUAACUACUGCGAAAGCAUUUGCCAAGGAUGUUUUCAUUAAUCAAGAACGAAAGUUAGGGGAUCGAAGACGAUCAGAUACCGUCGUAGUCUUAACCAUAAACUAUGCCGACUAGGGAUCGGAUGAUGUUAAUUUUUUAAUGACUCAUUCGGCGCCUUACG
rnacentral:rRNA from 1 species